rnacentral:lncRNA from 1 species
CCGUUCCCACGCCCACGGCGACUGACCCAGAACAGGGGAUUGGAGCGAUGCCCACACCUGCAGGCUGGCGAGACGUGUAGUACGCCACGCCACCGCCAUAUGAUCCGGACUUGUACGACGACGUCAACGACCCUGAUGCGGUUCAUCGCUUCCGCCACAUGGAGGACAUACUCAAGACUGGAGCAGCCAACGCCGGGAGGACAGAACAGCUGCUCCUCCUACCCGAGGGGAACCAGCUACGUUCGCAGAGGCUGAGCACCAUGCGGCAUGGAGGGCAGCGAUGAAAGAGG